rnacentral:rRNA from 1 species
AUGCUUUCGUUCCUCAGUGUCAGUAAUGAUCCAGAAAGCUGCCUUCGCAGUUGGUAUUCUUUCUAAUAUCUACGAAUUUCACCUCUACACUAGAAAUUCUGCUUUCCUCUAUCAUACUCUAGCUGAAAAGUUUUGAUGGCAGUUCCAGAGUUAAGCUCUGGGAUUUCACCACCAACUUUUUCAACCACCUACGAACUCUUUAAGCCCAGUAAUUCCGAACUACGCUAGGUCCCUUCGUAUUACCGCGGCUGCUGGCACGAAGUUAGCCGGACCUUCUUAUUCGGGUACAGUCAUUUUCUUCCCCGACGAAAGAGCUUUACAACCCAAAGGCCUUCUUCACUCACGCGGCAUCGCUGCAUCAGAGUUUCCUCCAUUGUGCAAGAUUCCCCACUGCUGCCUCCCGUAGGAGUUUGGGCCGUGUCUCAGUCCCAAUGUGGCUGAUCAUCCUCUCAAAUCAGCUAUUGAUCAUAGUCUUGGUAGGCCAUUACCCUACCAACAAACUAAUCAAGUGCGGGCUCAUCCAAUGGUGCAUAAAGCUUUCUCCGUAAAGACUUAUCCGGUAUUAGCACAAGUUUCCUCGUGUUAUUCCAGGCCAAAGGGUAGAUACCCACAUGUUACUCACCCGUCUGCCACUAAGUAUUGCUACUUCGUUCGACUUGCAUGUGUUAGGCGUGCCGCCAGCGUACGUUCUGAGCCAGGAUCAAACUCU